rnacentral:lncRNA from 1 species
GGGGCAUGUAAAAACAAGGGAGAAAGAGUGUUGGGGCAUAGAGAUAGAAUUGACACAAAACUAGGUGUCUUGGUGAGAGCAAAGAGAAGAAGAAGAGGGUCUUCUUUGAGGGUUGCUAAGUUCACCUCUUUCCUUCCUCCAUCUGUGAGUUUUCUAAGUGUCUCACAUUUAAAACUCCUUCUCCUACUUUUUAUUUUUGAAAGAGUCUAAAUCAAGAAGAAG